rnacentral:tRNA from 1 species
UGGGAUUUAGUGUAUUAGGGUAGCACGAAGAAUUUUGGAUUCUUAAGGUUAGGUUCGAGUCCUAUUAUUCCAG